CUGCGGCUCACUUUUAACUACCAAGUAAAGAAAUAGUAACAAAAUUAAUACAAAAAAACUUUACAACAACGGAUCUCUUGGCUCUCGCAUCGAUGAAGAACGCAGCGAAAUGUGAUAAGUAAUGUGAAUUGCAGAAUUCAGUGAAUCAUCGAAUCUUUGAACGCACCUUGCGCUCCUUGGUAUUCCGAGGAGCAUGUCUGUUUGAGUGUCAUGAACUCUUCAACCCACCAGUUUCUUGUAAACUGAUUGGUGUUUGGAUUUUGAGUGUUGCUGGUCUUCUGAUCUAGCUCGCUCGUAAUAUAUUAGCAUCUCUAAUUCAAAUUUGGAUUGACUCAGUGUAAUAGACUAUUCGCUGAGGACACGCUUAUCAAGUGUGGCCGAAUUAGAUCACAGCAGAAGCUUCGAAUUCAUGUUGGUCAACUUUAGAUUAGACCUCAGAUCAGGCAGGAUUACCCGCUGAACUUAA
rnacentral:rRNA from 1 species